AGUGUGUUGUGUGUGUGUGUGUGGGUGUGUUUGUGUGUGUGUGUGGUGUGUGUGUGUGUGUGUGUGUGUGUGUGUGUGUGUGUGUGUGUGUGUGUGUGUGUGUGUGUGUGUGUGUGUGUGUGUGUGUGUGUGUGGUGUGUGUGUGUGUGUGUGUGUGUGUUGUGUGUGUGUGUGUGUGUGUGUGUGUGUUGUGUGUGUGUGUGUGUUUCAGGACGCUGCAGAGGAAGUGGCCAUCUUUCUUCUGUGGUGACUGCUUUUAGAAAUCUGUCCUUUUGUGUCUUUUUAUAAAUGAAAUCAUCGGGGGAAUCACGUAGAAAGUCUCAAUCUUUAUAGAGGUGAUUUAUUUUUAGAGAAGAUUUGAUGUAAAAAAGAUUCUGUAUUAAAAUCUCCGUCAACGAGAAGCUG